rnacentral:rRNA from 1 species
UACGUAGGGGGGCUAGCGUUGUCCGGAUUUAUUGGGCGUAAAGAGCGUGUAGGCGGCCAGGUAGGUCCGGUGUGAAAACUCGAGGCUUAACCUCGAGAUGUCAUCGGAAACCAUCUGGCUAGAGUCCGGAAGAGGAAAGUGGAAUUCCUGGUGUAGCGGUGAAAUGCGCAGAUAUCAGGAAGAACACCAAUGGCGAAAGCAGCUUUCUGGGACGGUACUGACGCUGAGACGCGAAAAGCGUGGGGGAGCGAACAGG